rnacentral:rRNA from 1 species
UACGUAGGGUGCGAGCGUUAAUCGGAAUUACUGGGCGUAAAGCGUGCGCAGGCGGUUAUGUAAGACAGAUGUGAAAUGCCCGGGCUUAACCUGGGAACUGCAUUUGUGACUGCAUGGCUAGAGUUUGGCAGAGGGGGGUAGAAUUCCACGUGUAGCAGUGAAAUGCGUAGAUAUGUGGAGGAACACCGAUGGCGAAGGCAGCCCCCUGGGUCAAGACUGACGCUCAUGCACGAAAGCGUGGGGAGCAGACGAGG